AUUGAACGCUGGCGGCAGGCCUAACACAUGCAAGUCGAACGGAGCGGCGGACGGGUGAGUAAUGCCUAGGAAUCUGCAUGGUAGUGGGGGAUAACGUCCGGAAACGGGCGCUAAUACCGCAUCCUCUCACAUUAGCAUUGGUCGGAUUGGCUAGUUGGUGGGGGAAAGGGCUACCACGGCGACGAACCGUAACUGGUCUGAGAGGAUGAUCAGUCACACGGGAAGUGAGACACGGUCCAGACUCCUAAGGGAGGCAGCAGUGGGGAAUAUUGGACAAGGGGCGAAAGCCUGAUCCAGCCAUGCCGCGUGUGUGAAGAAGGUCUUCGGAUUGUAAAGCACUUUAAGUUGGGAGGCGUUACCAACAGAAUAAGCACCGGCUAACUUCGUGCCAGCAGCCGCGGUAAUAC
rnacentral:rRNA from 1 species